UNGGUGCUCUUUGACCUGGGGGUCAGUGA
rnacentral:piRNA from 1 species